AGUGGGUUUUUUUGGAGCUGGGGAUGGAACUGAGGGUGGUCAACUGACAUGCCCCUUAGUCCUUUCUGCAGCUGGUUCUUCCAAGAAAGCUGCAGGCUGGUGUAGAAGAGAAAAGUCCUGCAAAUAAAUCUAUUUGCUCCAGUUUAAAAAAAAAA